UCUUCUUUUCCCCCUUCUUUUUCCCAAAAUUUCAAAUGAAAUCCCACCUGAAAUGUUUCUUCUUUUUUCCCCAUUUUAUUUUUCCCAAACCAUUUCUCCUUUAUUUUUUACCCCCAAUUUCCCCAAAUCGACAGCCCUCUGCAUCUCCGUUGGUCCUGCCCAUUUUUACAGCCUCGACUUAGGUGAACAAAACGACUACCUCAAAGGCGUCGUCACCGAUGUUAUCCAUGACCCAGGCCGCGGUGCGCCCUUAGCUCGCGUCAUGUUCCGUCACCCAUUCCGUUACAAGAAGCAGAAGGAAGGAUCUGUUCGUCGCCGCUGAGGGUAUGUACACCAGACAGUUCGUGUACUGUGGUAAGAAGGCCACCCUUAUGGUCGGAAACGUGUUGCCUCUUAGAUCUAUCCCCUAAGGAGCUGUCGUUUGCAACGUCGAACACCACGUUGGUGAUCGUGGGGUUUUCGCUCGGGCUUCUGGUGAUUAUGCCAUUGUUAUUAGUCACAACCCUGAUAACGACACUAUCAGCUGAAUUGUUUGUUAAUGGGGAGAUUGUUCAACGAUCACCAGAAAGACAAAGGAGGGUGGAACUACAACCGCAAAGGGCCCAAGACAGACCAAGGAUUGCUGACAAAUCACAGGUUUACACUCAACAUGCUUAUAUGAGACCUCUUGGAGUUGGUAUGUCUAUGAUUUCUUUAAAAUCUUAUGAAUAUGAUUUUGUUUUAAUUACUUGUAUUUGCAACAGUAGAUUUUUUACAAUUUUUCAGUUAGAUAUAUGCUAAUGUAUUUCUAAGUAACUUUCUCUAAUAUGUAAUGACAAAAAUGGAAGCAAUAUCGUUCUAGUAGUAGUAGUAGUAGUAGUAGUUAUUGAUGUAAAAUGGAGAAAUAUGAGGUGGUCAAAGAUUUGGGAGCCGGCAAUUUUGGGGUUGCUCGACUUCUCAGACACAAGGGUACCAAGGAGCUUGUUGCUAUGAAAUAUAUUGAGAGAGGUCACAAGGUUUGUUUCUUUAAUGUCUAUUAUCUCUCUCACUUGUUCUUGCAUUUUUUUGGGUAUUAUUAAUCCUGUUCAUUACUUCAUCACUUCGAAUCACGUUCUUCUUUCUGUCUCUUUCUUUUGAAUGCCAAACCGGUUGAUUGAAAGCUUAGCUUAGCUGUGUUUGUUUGCAAAUAGAUGAGAAUGUGGCAAGAGAGAUUAUCAAUCACAGAUCUCUUAGACACCCUAAUAUAAUCCAGUUCAAGGAGGCAAGUAUCGUCUCUUGCUUCAUUUCCCUUUUAAAAAAUUUAGGAUGUUUCUAUUUUUGAUGGGAUAUGAAUGCUGUACGUGGUUUUGAUGCCUACCCAUUUAGCAAUUGUGAUAGAGUAUGCUGGUGGUGGUGAGCUCUUUGAUCGAAUUUGCAGUGCUGGUAGAUUCAGUGAAGAUGAGGCUAGAUAUUUUUUUCAGCAGUUGAUCUCUAGUGUUAAUUACUGUCACUCCAUGGUGUUAAGAUGAAGGCAGCUGAGGAAGCCUUGGAAGCAAAACAAAAAGUAACAAAUAGCUUGUCUGCUACCUGUUCUUUUUAUUAUUAUCAUGUUUUAUAAUUUUGUGACAAAUUGUUCUUGGUACUCUGAAGAUAUUUAUGCAAAAUUACCCUAUGAUUCUAUUGUAUUUAUACUGCAUGGCUGCACCAUGUAUUUCUUAACUAGUUUGAUAAAUUUUA